rnacentral:rRNA from 1 species
UAGGGAAUCUUCCACAAUGGGCGAAAGCCUGAUGGAGCAACGCCGCGUGAGUGAAGAAGGGUUUCGGCUCGUAAAGCUCUGUUGUUAAAGAAGAACGUGGGUAAGAGUAACUGUUUACCCAGUGACGGUAUUUAACCAGAAAGCCACGGCUAACUACGUGCCAG